AUGAGCCAUUCGCAGUUUCACUGUACCGCCCGUGUGUACUUAGACAUGCAUGGCUUAAGCUUUGAGACAAGCAUAUGCUACUGGCAGGAUCAACCAGGUAGCCGCCACCCACGGCGGCGCCGCGCGGACGACAACGGCGGCCCGGACGCGCCCGGCCCGCCGGCGAACGCGCGCCCCGCCGAGCCCGACCGCCCCGCGGCUCUCUCGCCGCUCCGACCCGCGGGGGGAGCGGCAUGCGGAGGAGGGAGGCGGCGGCGGCGGCGGCGGCGCGGCGGCGCGACGGGCGCCGGCGGCGGCGGCGGCCGGGGCCGCCUCGCGGCCCGGCGGCGCCUGGGGCGGGGAACGGCGCCACGCGCGAGGGACGGAGGCCCUCGGCGACGGCCGACCCCGGCGGCCGGCCCUUCCCGCGACGCCGCGGGCAAGGAGCCGGGACCGCUGCGCAGCUUUUCGCCAUUCGGAGGUAGAGGCGCGAGGCUUCGCCUCUCUCUUCUCUCUCUCUGGGCUUGCUCCCUUUUCUCUCUCUCUCUCUCUCUCUCUCUCUCUUUCGUCCCGGGGCCCGCGCCCCGGGUUCCAGAGACUCGGCCUCGCGCUCCCCCCCGGCAAAGUCGCGCGCGCGGCGCGCGGAACGGGACUCGGCCGGGGCUGACCCGCCCCCCCCCAAAGCCGAGAGAACCCGCCCGCCGACCGGUCGCGGGCGAGCGACCGGCCGCCGGCGAGGUUGGGCCGAGCGGAUAAAAGCGCCGGACGUGCUAGAGGAGACGGCGACCCGACGAGGCGGGCGCGGCCCGGACACCGAGGCCCCCCCCUUUUUCAGCCGGGGCGGCUCGCUCUGCAGCAGGCGGCGGAACGGCAAAAGGAGCGCGCGGAUCGGGCUCUGCUCCCCCGUCCGCGCCCCAUCGCGCUUCGGUCCUUUUCGCCUCUCUCUCUCUCUCUCUCUCUCCGUCUCGCGGCUCAGCUCCAGCCGCACCGCCGCCCGGCGCUGCUCGCGGCCGGCACCCACGGGGCGCUACCCGGACCGGGGCCGGCACCGGCACACCUCGCGUGGUUUGAAGGACACCUGAAGGCUCGCGGGGCCACGCGGCCGUCACACAGCUGGGCACGGUAAAGACGCCCUCCCCGCCAGCGGGAGGGGCGACACCUCGCCUGCGACAGGAAGCGAAUUGGAAAGGAGACCGCCCUGCCCGAGCACCGGACUCCCCCCGCCGUGGCUUCCCCGUGACAGAGAAGCCCCGGAAGGAGAGCCGGCCCGCCGGGGGCCCUCUCCGACGCCACCCGAAAAGCCUCAUCGAUCAGCCGCGGCCCAGCAAGGAGCCGCGCAAACGGCGACAAGGGCCCCACGGCCACGGUCCUGGGACAACGGGCGAGAAAAAGCGCCACCGGACCUUGUCGCCACGGGGGCCACCGGCUUUCGCCCGGGCCUCGCGGCGGGGUCGGCUUUCCCCCCUUCCGGAGAAAAACAAAAAGCCGGGGG
rnacentral:lncRNA from 14 species